rnacentral:lncRNA from 1 species
GUGAUGUUGUUCCCCUAUAUUAUGCACCAAAUUGCACACAAGGACCAAUUCAAAUCGGCCAGGUCAAGAGGGGAUGUUAAUAAUUUGAUAAUAAUACUAAUAAUUCAGUGUAUUUAAAAAAAAAUGUAAUUACAGCUGCAUAGCUAAAGUGUACAAACACUUUGUUACAAUGUGGAUAAUAUAAAGAUACUGUAUAGGCAUAUAUAAACAAUGUAUUUAACUUGGAAACCAAGGUUGGAUUAGUUGGUCUAAGCAACAUGCACCUGGAUAAUCGGGUCAUGAAUCUGGACGGGCUCCUACAUCCUCAUAUACACAUUAUGACAAAAUAAAGAGUUUAAUGUUUCACGAAAUAAAGACAUAGAAGCAUACCCAAUUAUACAGGUUCUACACAUUCCAUUUCUCCAUGGCAAUAGAAUGUAAACAUUCUAUUUUGCGCCAAACAUCCCUACAACUCAAUUCUAAGUGCAGCAUAUUGGAGGACUCCAGCCAUUGAUCAUUCGCGACUUUAAGUCAUUCCUGUUGUCUCUAGAGCAUCCCGUAUAUCUAUAGCGCUGCAUUUCUUCCCCAUCUUACCAUGGAUAGGGUUUGGUGCAUUCCGGAGUUCACUUAUGGUCCCACAAAGGUAAUCUUAGGAUAAAUUCAUUUUAGCAUACUGUAAAUGCCUGUGCAUAAUGUGCAUAACAAAGCAUCAUUAUUUUCAUUAUUUUCAUUAUCUUCAAAGGAUUUCUGUAGAAGCAGCCUUUAUUUUCAGACUCUGCAGGCCUGCUGGGAGGAAACAUAUUACAAUAAACAGAAGAAGCUCAUGGUCCACUAUCUGCUGCUCCAGAGUCAAGGCCAGGUCCCUCCCCAUGUCACCACGGAGCACAUGAGCAACUGGCUGGUGUCUCAGGGCAAAAAAUCUCUUAGGGAGAGGUGAGUACCACGUCAGCACUCACAUUCACUGCCAUUCCCUGCCACCAGCAGCACUCCAGGAGGUGUGGGUAAAAUAAACAACAGAAAAAUCAGAAGCCAGGAAAGUUGAAUUGCUCUGUGUUUUAUUUGAAGGGUGUGGAAGGAAACCCUGGAGGAAGGAAACGACCUCGCUCGGCUGGUAAGAGAAUGAGAGUUAGAGACAAACUACAAGUUAGUGAGCUCUUUACUAGCCUUUCAACAACGAGUUAGCACAGCAGAAUAGAUCUGUUGUGAAAUUAC